AGUGGACUGAGGCGGGACGCACAGGAGACUCGGAGACCUGAGGACGAGCUAGGCUUUGGACACGGUAGAUUUGUGGCGUCUGUAAAGCCCGCGGCCAGCCGAGGGGCAUGAAACGGCGUAAAGGGCAGAGCAGAAGCCGCGUCUCUGGGACCUCUCCCACAAGGAUCUUCCAGAGUCUCGGCCGCAGAGUACCUCUGCGCGGCGCUGCACGCGUCUCCGGAAGCCGCGCGCGCAGGCGCAGUGCGGGGGGCGCCCCCUGGCGGCGCAGGGACCGCCCCCAACCUCGCGCCGCCGCCGCCGCCGCCCGCCUCAGCCCAACAUGGCGAUGCACAACAAGGCGGCGCCGCCGCAGAUCCCGGACACCCGGCGGGAGCUGGCGGAGCUCGUGAAGCGGAAGCAGGAGUUGGCGGAAACACUGGCAAACUUGGAGCGACAGAUCUAUGCUUUUGAGGGAAGCUACCUGGAAGACACUCAGAUGUAUGGCAAUAUUAUUCGUGGCUGGGAUCGGUAUCUGACCAACCAAAAAAACUCCAAUAGCAAAAAUGAUCGAAGGAACCGGAAGUUUAAGGAAGCUGAGCGGCUCUUCAGUAAAUCCUCAGUUACCUCAGCAGCUGCAGUAAGUGCAUUGGCAGGAGUUCAAGACCAGCUCAUUGAAAAGAGGGAGCCAGGAAGUGGGACAGAAAGUGACACUUCUCCAGACUUCCACAAUCAGGAAAACGAGCCCAGCCAGGAGGACCCUGAGGAUCUGGAUGGAUCUGUGCAGGGAGUGAAACCUCAGAAGGCUGCUUCCUCUACUUCCUCAGGGAGUCACCACAGCAGCCAUAAAAAGCGAAAGAAUAAAAACCGGCACAGCCCGUCUGGCAUGUUUGAUUAUGACUUUGAGAUUGAUCUGAAGUUAAACAAAAAACCACGAGCUUGAGUUCAGAUGCUGUAAUAAGAGCAGAAUUGAUGUUUCAAUCCCUUUAUGGACUCAGAAGGCAGACCAUUUUCAGAUGACUAUUAGAAGACACGUUAGUGCAGAAGCUUCCAGGCUGUAGAGCCCUGCUUCUUCCCUUCUCUGACCUCACAAAGACAAACAUCGUUCACCUGAGUUCGUGGCCAUCCACCUCUGCUCUCCCAGACCCAGUGCCUGUGACUUUGAGUAGUUUGUUCUAAAUGUGGUGACAAACAAGUCAUUUCUGUAAGACAUUGGAUCUUACUUUAUGUCAUUUUUAGUAACAGAACUGCAGGAAGAUCAAGACAAUGUUAUAAUCCCAGCAAGUUGCUAACUGUGCGUUUCUCCCUUCUUAGAAUGAAUGUCUCCCCCCAAACUGGCUGGCACCAGCUUCAUCUGUGAUACCCAUCAAGAAAUGUUCUCUGGUUUUGUUUUAUGCUGAAAGUAGAACACAAGUCACAUUUCAGAUGGAGGCUGUAAAUAUCUGGCAUUUUCUUAUAUUGUUUUAUGUGUUCUUGUUUUUCUCGCUGUUUUUAUCUUAUUUUCUUUGGGGUUUUUUUGUAAUGCCUUGUACAGCUCAUACCUUCCUGCUGACAUAUCUGAUCAUCUUUUUCAUGCAGUUGCCGAUAUUCAUAACUGAAAAUAAUCUGGUUUAUCAUAAGUGAAAUGGGAAACUUGGCUCUGUUUUUUUGCAAGGAGAGGUAAAGAGUGUUUAUUUAGUAAUUACCUAUCUUAAAUCUUUCUGAGUUGGUAGCAGAUUCGUGUUCAAGGAGCAGGAAAAAUGGAAAAACAUAAGUUUAAAUCAAUUCUUUUUAAAUAGCUAUUUUUAUUUUGUAUAAAUAAAAUUUCACAGGCUUCAAAUUCUCAUGCUUUACUUUUAAA